AUGGUGGACUUUGCUAUGGAUGUUUACAAAAACCUUUAUUCUGAUGAUAUCCCUCAUGCUUUGAGAGAAAAAAGAACCACAGUUGUUGCACAGCUGAAACAGCUCCAGGCAGAAACAGAACCAAUUGUGAAGAUGUUUGAAGAUCCAGAAACUACAAGGCAGAUGCAGUCAACCAGGGAUGGCAGGAUGUUAUUUAACUACCUGGCAGACAAACAUGGG
rnacentral:lncRNA from 1 species